AGCAGUGGGGAAUUUUGGACAAUGGGCGAAAGCCUGAUCCAGCAAUGCCGCGUGUGUGAAGAAGGCCUUCGGGUUGUAAAGCACUUUUGUCCGGAAAGAAAUCCUUGGCUCUAAUACAGUCGGGGGAUGACGGUACCGGAAGAAUAAGCACCGGCUAACUACGUGCCAGCAGCCGCGGUAAUACGUAGGGUGCGAGCGUUAAUCGGAAUUACUGGGCGCAAAGCGUGCGCAGGCGGUUUGCUAAGACCGAUGUGAAAUCCCCGGGCUCAACCUGGGAACUGCAUUGGUGACUGGCAGGCUAGAGUAUGGCAGAGGGGGGUAGAACUCCACGUGUAGCAGUGAAAUGCGUAGAGAUGUGGAGGAAUACCGAUGGCGAAGGCAGCCCCCUGGGCCAAUACUGACGCUCAUGCACGAAAGCGUGGGGAGCAAACAGGAUUAGAUACCCUGGUAGUCCACGCCCUAAACGAUGUCAACUAGUUGUUGGGGAUUCAUUUCCUUAGUAACGUAGCUAACGCGUGAAGUUGACCGCCUGGGGAGUACGGUCGCAAGAUUAAAACUCAAAGGAAUUGACGGGGACCCGCACAAGCGGUGGAUGAUGUGGAUUAAUUCGAUGCAACGCGAAAAACCUUACCUACCCUUGACAUGGUCGGAAUCCCGCUGAGAGGUGGGAGUGCUCGAAAGAGAACCGGCGCACAGGUGCUGCAUGGCUGUCGUCAGCUCGUGUCGUGAGAUGUUGGGUUAAGUCCCGCAACGAGCGCAACCCUUAUCCUUAGUUGCUACGCAAGAGCACUCUAAGGAGACUGCCGGUGACAAACCGGAGGAAGGUGGGGAUGACGUCAAGUCCUCAUGGCCCUUAUGGGUAGGGCUUCACACGUCAUACAAUGGUCGGAACAGAGGGUUGCCAACCCGCGAGGGGGAGCUAAUCCCAGAAAACCGAUCGUAGUCCGGAUUGCACUCUGCAACUCGAGUGCAUGAAGCUGGAAUCGCUAGUAAUCGCGGAUCAGCAUGCCGC
rnacentral:rRNA from 1 species